rnacentral:ncRNA from 1 species
AUAAUAAAUUUAUAUGGUUUAAAAAAUUUAUUUUAAAUUUAUUUUACAUAUAAAUUUUAGUGUUAAAUUUAAUUUAUUUUAAUAAUAAAUUUAUUUAUUUGUAGUAAUUAAUAUUAAAUUAUUUAAGAAAUUAAGAUUUAGUAAUAUUUAAAUUAAUAACAAAUUUUGUGCCAGCAGUUGCGGUUAAACAAAAGUUAAAUUAAAUUUUGUUAGUGAAUUAAUAAAUAAAUUAAAUAAAUUAAUUAAAAUUUUAAAUUAUUAAGUGAAAUUUUAAUUUAAUAAAAUGUUAAAUUUAAAUUAUGAAUUUAAUAAAUUUUUUUAAAGACUAGGAUUAGAUACCCUAUUAUGAGAUUUUUAAAUUUAAAUACUAAAAUAGUAAAUAAUUAUUUAUUGAAACUUAAAUAAUUUGGCGGUAUUUUAGUUCAUUUAGAGGAAUCUGUUUAAUAAUUGAUAAUCCACGAAUAAAUUUACUUAAUUUUUAAUUUUGUAUAUCGUUGUUAAAAAAAUAUUUUUAUUAAAUAAUAAUAUUUAAAAAUUAAAAUAGAAAUUAAAUCAGAUCAAGAUGCAGAUUAUAAUUAAGAAUAUAAUGGAUUACAAUAAAUUUAUUUAAAUGAAUGUUAAUUUGAAAUAAUUAAUUGAAAGUGGAUUUAAAUGUAAUUUUAUUUAAUUUAAUAAAAUGAUUAAAAAUUGAAAUAUGUACAUAUUGCCCGUCGCUUUCAUAUAAUUAAUAAAAAAAAAUAAUAAGUAUUAAUAAGUUGAAAUAAGUCGUAACAAAGUAGAGGUACUGGAAAGUGUUUCUAGAAAGAA